UAACACGUAUGCAACCUGGCCGUCACAGAGGGAUAACCGGGAGAAAUCCCGCCUAAUACCGCAUAAUACCGGGGGGAGGACAUCCUUUCCCGGUCAAAGGAGCGAUCCGGUGACGGAUGGGCAUGCGCCGCAUUAGUUAGUUGGCGGUGUAACGGACCACCAAGACGACGAUGCGUAGGGGUUCUGAGAGGAAGGUCCCCCACACUGGUACUGAGACACGGACCAGACUCCUACGGGAGGCAGCAGUGAGGAAUAUUGGUCAAUGGGCGAGAGCCUGAACCAGCCAAGUCGCGUGAGGGAAGACGGUCCUAUGGAUUGUAAACCUCUUUUGCCGGGGAGCAAAAAGCGGUACGUGUACCGCAUCGAGAGUACCCGGAGAAAAAGCAUCGGCUAACUCCGUGCCAGCAGCCGCGGUAAUACGGAGGAUGCGAGCGUUAUCCGGAUUUAUUGGGUUUAAAGGGUGCGCAGGCGGCGAGUUAAGUCAGCGGUAAAAUUUCGGGGCUCAACCCCGACAAGCCGUUGAAACUGGCUUGCUAGAGUGGGCGAGAAGUAUGCGGAAUGCGUGGUGUAGCGGUGAAAUGCAUAGAUAUCACGCAGAACUCCGAUUGCGAAGGCAGCAUACCGGCGCCCAACUGACGCUCAGGCACGAAAGCGUGGGUAUCGAACAGGAUUAGAUACCCUGGUA
rnacentral:rRNA from 1 species